UCUUCUGUGGGGUUCGCAUGGCUCAUAUC
rnacentral:piRNA from 1 species